UUAAAAUUUUAUUUUUCUAUUUUGCUUUUUUAUAUUAUUUAAAUAAUAUUAAUUAUUAUUAAUAAAUUUUAUACAAAUUAGAUAAUAAAUUAAACCUUAUCACGGGUAAAAAAUUGUUAAUUAUAUGCAUUAUUUUGCAAAUAAUAAGCCUACUUUUAUUUAUAUAUAGCCUAUAAUACAUAAUUCCGAAAUGGAAUAGUUGGAAUUCCGUUAAUUUAUUAAUUGCAGGAAUUGUAAUUUAAAAAUUAACGAAUGGAUUAAUUACCCUAUACCGGGUUUAAUACCCAUUUUAUAUCUGCAAAUUAAUUAUUUUGUACCGGGUUAAAAAAAAAAUUUUGCGUGCGAAUUUAAAAAUGGUUUGUUAGCAAAUAAAAAUGUUUUUUAACAAAUAUAUAUAAAUUAAUUUCUCGGAAAUUUAUAUGCGGUACCAGAAAUGUUUUUGGCGUGCCGACCCCAAUUUUGAUGUUGGAAAAUAUAUAAAAAAAUAAAACAAACUUUUUCUACCAAUAUAUUAGCGUCCAUUUGCGUAUAACGUUCCAUUUUAAUAUAUUUAGCGCUUUUUAAUAUUUGUUAGCAACGACGCCGUACCUAGGGUUUACCCCCUAAAUCCCCUGUAAUAACCCUAAAUAUUAAUAGGUAAUAUAUUAUUAUUUAAGUUUAUUUUAUUUAAAUUCUAAUUUUAAAUUAGUUUCCAUAUUUAUAUUUAUAAUAUAAGUUAGGAUAAAUCACGUGCGGGUUACGUGGGGCACCGCACGUAAAUUGUAAAUUCAAUUAAUAAAUUAAACGCGUUCCUUUUUAUUUUAACAAUUUCCAACUUAUUAAAA
rnacentral:sRNA from 1 species